UACGGAGGGUGCGAGCGUUGUCCGGAAUCACUGGGCGUAAAGGGCGCGUAGGCGGCCUGAUAAGUAGGGGGUGAAAUCCUGCGUCUUAACCGCAGGGCUGCCUUCUAAACUGUCAGGCUCGAGCACAGUAGAGGCAGGUGGAAUUCCCGGUGUAGCGGUGGAAUGCGUAGAGAUCGGGAAGAACAUCAGUGGCGAAGGCGGCCUGCUGGGCUGUUGCUGACGCUGAGGCGCGACAGCGUGGGGAGCAAACAGG
rnacentral:rRNA from 1 species